rnacentral:lncRNA from 1 species
CAGACAUUUAAGUAUGCUUUUUAUUGUCAUGUCAUUUUCUCUCAUGGCAUAGCCUAUUUGUUUUAAUGGAAAGCAGAUAUGAAUAUGACAGUGGCUGAUUAGCAAUACAAAAACUAAAAUGUUGGUCAUUCCUACGUUUAUCUGACUCUGGUCCAUGACAUGCUGACAACUGUAGACUUUCCCAAAAGCACAUUGCCUAAACAAACUGUACUGUAACAAUUUGAAAUCCUCAUGGUCCCAUUUGCUCCUGUUUUCCAGGUUAUCAUGGUGUGUGAUGUUCAUCUCCAGAUCUGUGGACUGAUGAAUUCUCCAAACGUUUAAGAACCACUCCCUUCAUGUGCUUUCUGCUCCUCUUGAUUCCCACAAGUUUAACUACGAAACCAAACUUCCCACCUUCAGCACACUAGCCACAGUCGGGCUAGGGUUCUUCCACUAUGCUCACAUUAUUUCCUGCCCAGUAUGGAGUGAGGUCACUCCUCAGUUUGUUCCUCCGUAUUCUGGUAUGCGGCGACAGAGAUGGCGCUGUAGGGGUUCAGGACCAUCUGGGCACAGCGCACUAUGGUGAACAGCAGGAAGGAACAGAGUAGGAAGACAAAGAAGAGGGCAAAUCCCAGGUCCACGUCCACCUCCAUCCUGGCCACCGGCAGGAGAGGAGGGUCCAUGACUUAUCGUAUUCAAAUGAGACUGAUGCAGACUGACAAAGGAGUCCUACUCAAUGGCCCCUAAUUUAUCCCCCAAUGUCCCUACCACCCAACCCAAUCCACUCUACUGUAGGCCAGCUAUUCUAUGGGCUUCAGCAUGCAGAGGACACGUGUACUCACACCUGUGUCAGGUAAUGGUAUAUCUAUAGGAAGGUGAAGGUGCAUUACAGUGUUUAAACACCUCAGCAAAACACUAACACACAACACAGCUACAAUGUCUCCUCUCCUUACUGUAUAUACAUAUACAUCCCUAUGGACGAACACACAGGCGCAGAGGUCUAAUGUACAGUCAUGGGUUUGUUUAACCACAGAUUGACAGUUGUUUGCUUUGUUUCUCCCUUCCACCCAAGUCAACGUUUCCAAGUCUACGUUUCCUCCACAGGGUAGGCAUCAUUCCACGUGCUGUACCCCUAGUCCUGCCUCCUGCCCCUCCUGCUGGUUGUUGUUGCCUCCUGGGGAGGUCCAGAGCCCUGUCUGUUGCCUGGACUGAGUCCUGCUGGCUGUUCUAAUCUCAGUUAUGGCCUGAUCGUCACCAAACCCCUCUUUAACUAUUCAUGGGACACAGGUGCCAAGUGUGACUGAGUACGUCCAUCUGUUUGUCCAUCCCCAGGGGGGUUGGGAGUGGCGUCCAGGAGAGGUGAAGAGAGGGAGGAAAGUGAGAGAGAGAGAGAGAGAGAGAGAGAGAGAGAGAGAGACAGAGAAAAUGAAGGAGUAGGGGAAUAAUUCUCAUGUCAUAUUCAUGUUCAGACCACUAAUG